GAUGAACGCUGGCGGCGUGCCUAAUACAUGCAAGUCGAGCGAACGGACGAGAAGCUUGCUUCUCUGAUGUUAGCGGCGGACGGGUGAGUAACACGUGGAUAACCUACCUAUAAGACUGGGAUAACUUCGGGAAACCGGAGCUAAUACCGGAUAAUAUUUUGAACCGCAUGGUUCAAAAGUGAAAGACGGUCUUGCUGUCACUUAUAGAUGGAUCCGCGCUGCAUUAGCUAGUUGGUAAGGUAACGGCUUACCAAGGCAACGAUGCAUAGCCGACCUGAGCGGGUGAUCGGCCACACUGGAGCUGAGACACGGUCCAGACUCCUACGGGAGGCAGCAGUAGGGAAUCUUCCGCAAUGGGCGAAAGCCUGACGGAGCAACGCCGCGUGAGUGAUGAAGGUCUUCGGAUCGUAAAACUCUGUUAUUAGGGAAGAACAUAUGUGUAAGUAACUGUGCACAUCUUGACGGUACCUAAUCAGAAAGCCACGGCUAACUACGUG
rnacentral:rRNA from 1 species